GACGAACGCUGGCGGCGUGCUUAACACAUGCAAGUCGAACGGAAAGGCCCUUCGGGGUACUCGAGUGGCGAACGGGUGAGUAACACGUGGGUGAUCUGCCCUGCACUUUGGGAUAAGCCUGGGAAACUGGGUCUAAUACCGAAUAGGACCACGCGCUUCAUGGUGUGUGGUGGAAAGCUUUUGCGGUGUGGGAUGGGCCCGCGGCCUAUCAGCUUGUUGGUGGGGUAAUGGCCUACCAAGGCGACGACGGGUAGCCGGCCUGAGAGGGUGACCGGCCACACUGGGACUGAGAUACGGCCCAGACUCCUACGGGAGGCAGCAGUGGGGAAUAUUGCACAAUGGGCGCAAGCCUGAUGCAGCGACGCCGCGUGAGGGAUGACGGCCUUCGGGUUGUAAACCUCUUUCAAUAGGGACGAAGCGCAAGUGACGGUACCUAUAGAAGAAGCACCGGCCAACUACGUGCCAGCAGCCGCGGUAAUACGUAAGGUGCGAGCGUUGUCCGGAAUUACUGGGCGUAAAGAGCUCGUAGGUGGUUUGUCGCGUUGUUCGUGAAAACUCACAGCUUAACUGUGGGCGUGCGGGCGAUACGGGCAGACUAGAGUACUGCAGGGGAGACUGGAAUUCCUGGUGUAGCGGUGGAAUGCGCAGAUAUCAGGAGGAACACCGGUGGCGAAGGCGGGUCUCUGGGCAGUAACUGACGCUGAGGAGCGAAAGCGUGGGGAGCGAACAGGAUUAGAUACCCUGGUAGUCCACGCCGUAAACGGUGGGUACUAGGUGUGGGUUCCUUCCUUGGGAUCCGUGCCGUAGCUAACGCAUUAAGUACCCCGCCUGGGGAGUACGGCCGCAAGGCUAAAACUCAAAGGAAUUGACGGGGGCCCGCACAAGCGGCGGAGCAUGUGGAUUAAUUCGAUGCAACGCGAAGAACCUUACCUGGGUUUGACAUGCACAGGACGCCGGCAGAGAUGUCGGUUCCCUUGUGGCCUGUGUGCAGGUGGUGCAUGGCUGUCGUCAGCUCGUGUCGUGAGAUGUUGGGUUAAGUCCCGCAACGAGCGCAACCCUUGUCCUAUGUUGCCAGCGGGUUAUGCCGGGGACUCGUAGGAGACUGCCGGGGUCAACUCGGAGGAAGGUGGGGAUGACGUCAAGUCAUCAUGCCCCUUAUGUCCAGGGCUUCACACAUGCUACAAUGGCCGGUACAAAGGGCUGCGAUGCCGUGAGGUGGAGCGAAUCCUUUCAAAGCCGGUCUCAGUUCGGAUCGGGGUCUGCAACUCGACCCCGUGAAGUCGGAGUCGCUAGUAAUCGCAGAUCAGCAACGCUGCGGUGAAUACGUUCCCGGGCCU
rnacentral:rRNA from 1 species